rnacentral:rRNA from 1 species
UAGUAUCGGCGAGCGAAGCGCGAAGAGCUCAAAUCUGAUAGCCGGCACCUCCCGGUGUCCAGUGUCGUAAUAUCGAGAAUAUGUUUUUCCGUGCGGCUGUAUGGACAAGUCCCUUGGAAUAGGGCAUUGUAGAGGGUGAGAAUACCGUACUUGCCAAGGAAGAACCGUGCUUUGCGAUACACCAAGUAAGAGUUGAGUUGCCUGGGAUGGCAGCUCAAAAUGGGUGGUAGACUCCUUCUUAAGCUUAAUAUUGGGGAGAGACCGAUAGCGACCAAGUACCGUGAGGGAAAGAUGAAAAGCACUUUGGAAAGAGAGUUAAAAGUACGUGAAAUUGUCGAAAGGGAAGCACUUGAAGUCAGCCAUGCCUCUUGAGAUUCAGCCCGGCCUUUGGGCUUGGUGUAUUUCUCGGUGGCAAGCCAGCAUUGGUUUGGGUUGUCGGAGAAGCGCAUAGGGAAAGUUGGGUUUCCGGACGUGUUAUAACCCUAUUCAGGAUACGCCGACCUGGAUCUCAGGAACGCAGUGUGCCCUCUGGGCGGGUC